rfam:Vibrio sp. 2756-81 Vn_2756-81_contig1, whole genome shotgun sequence.
UUACUUAGUCUCUUAGCCUAACGGCUAUUGGCUGGUGGUUUAAUAACCACCGGCCU